rnacentral:rRNA from 1 species
AUUGAACGCUGGCGGCAGGCUUAACACAUGCAAGUCGAGCGGGGUGAUGGUGCUUGCACUAUCACUUAGCGGCGGACGGGUGAGUAAUGCUUAGGAAUCUGCCUAUUAGUGGGGGACAACAUCUCGAAAGGGAUGCUAAUACCGCAUACGUCCUACGGGAGAAAGCAGGGGAUCACUUGUGACCUUGCGCUAAUAGAUGAGCCUAAGUCGGAUUAGCUAGUUGGUGGGGUAAAGGCCUACCAUGGCGACGAUCUGUAGCGGGUCUGAGAGGAUGAUCCGCCACACUGGGACUGAGAAACGGCCCAGACUCCUACGGGAGGCAGCAGUGGGGAAUAUUGGACAAUGGGGGGAACCCUGAUCCAGCCAUGCCGCGUGUGUGAAGAAGGCCUUAUGGUUGUAAAGCACUUUAAGCGAGGAGGAGGCUCUUUUGGUUAAUACCCAAGAUGAGUGGACGUUACUCGCAGAAUAAGCACCGGCUAACUCUGUGCCAGCCGCCGCCGUAA